UCGCCAAUGAGGAUAUCAUUAACCAAUAACCAUCUUUCGGGACUGAAUGGCUUUUUAAGGCCUUGAUGUUAUUCUGCAAUUCUGAGGCGA